rnacentral:rRNA from 1 species
AAUCAACGCUGGCGGCGCGCUUAACACAUGCAAGUCGAGCGAGAAAGUGGGGCAACCCAUGAGUACAGCGGCGCACGGGUGAGUAACACGUGGAUCAUCUACCUUGAAGUGGGGAAUAACUCUGGGAAACCGGAGCUAAGACCGCAUACGCCUGCGAAGGGAAAGCCGAAAGGCGCUUUAAGAGGAGUCCGCGGCCGAUUAGCUAGUUGGUGAGGUAAUGGCUCACCAAGGCGGGGAUCGGUAGCCGGCCUGAGAGGGCACACGGUCACACUGGCACUGAAACACGGGCCAGACUCCUACGGGAGGCAGC